UUGAACAAGUUACCAUGGCAACAAAUCAUGCUUUAAUUUGCAUUUUUUGUAAAAUUUUGUGAUUUUUCUUGUUAUUUAUCCAAUUUUUAAGUAUAUUUUCGAUUGGAAAAGUAUGUGCGCACCCAAGAAACAACUUUAUAUUUGCUGAGAUUUUGUCAAUAGUAAUAAUAAAGCUUCAGUUAAAUUAUUUUGUUGUUUCUUGGCUGCGCACGAUGUUUCCACAACAGAAAUAAAGAUAUAAA
rnacentral:lncRNA from 1 species